ACAAAGGUGGUGUAUGUUAGGUGUUGUUGAGGCUGGCCGGACUGUUACUACCCUCGUUAGUGUGGCCGGACUGUUACUACCCUUGUUAGUGUAGUGGUUGAAGCACAGCAGACGUUACAACACCGGUAAAAACAUAGAACAGGAAUCUUCAUCAUGUUCAAGAUAAUGCCAGCAGCUCCUGAGACUCGCCGACCAGAGAGAGGAGGGAUCAAGGGCGCCAUCCUCAACGUGUACUACGACCCUUUUAAGUGGUCUUUAAUGAAAAGUGUCCUCUUCUUCAUUGUUGGAGUGAAGACAGCCAGCGAUUUUGUUGGCUUUGAUCCAUUGAGUCCAAGUCCACAGUAGAUAAAAUCUUUCUUGAUGAAUGGAUAUAAUUGUAUGAAGUUGUUGUGUAUAGAAAAUAUGUAUCCCAUUAAUACACAAUAUAAUAAAGUCUGCACAUCUGGAGAGUCUACUGUAACAGAACACCCGAGGGUCAUGUUGAGUUUUAAAUGAGAAUAUUUGUAAACUGUAUAUUGAGAAAUAAAUGGACUGUUAUAUGUUA